UUCUCUCCGACUAUAUAACCUCCCCCUCCACCUGAACCCAUUCCCAUCUCUCUCUCCCUCUCUCUAGGAAUCUGUGGAGAUCAUCGUCACAGUUGAUAUUUUCUUCUCUUCAACGACGAUGGAGGCUGCUCUUAAGCUCAGGCUCUUCGCCCUGGCCAUGGUGGUCGUCGUCGUGGCCUCUUCCUUGGUCGAGAAAGCCGCCGCUGCUGACGCACCCGCCCCCACCCCUACCUCCGGCGCCACUACCACCGCCCUCGCCGCACCUGCUGCCGCCCUUGCCUCGUUCUCCGCCCUCCUCUUCGGAUGCUUCCUCUACUAAGCCACAACGUCAUUGUUUCGUCACCUUGUUUCCUUUCCUUUGUUGUGAUUUCUUCAUGUAGUCAUUCUCUUCUGUCAUGGUGUCUAUGAAGAGAGAGGAAGAGAGAGGAAUAUGCAUGCAUCGACGUAUGCAUACGGCGGUGGUGGUGGUGGUGGUAGUGGAUAUGUAAUCUUCUCUUGGUGUUCAUUCAUUUAUGUUAAUGUGAUUCUUUCCCUCUUCUUUUGUCAGAAGUAAAUGAUCUAUGCUACCAUCUAAGCUUCUAAGCUUCUCAAAAAGGUUAUGGCUGCAGAACAAUUGCCGAUCAAACGCCAUUAAUUGCGUUAUGCUUUGUGCUUUGCCAAGAAGAGAGCAAUCAUCAGUUGAAGAAACUGGUGAUCCCUUUGCUCAUCAUGGCUUGUAGUUGAUUCAUUCAAUGCAUGAAGACAACAAUGAGUUGGCAAUGCUGGCUCAACAUGGCCUUGCUGUUCGCAUGGCUUCUCAGGUUCCACAGGGUCCCAUGCCAUCAAUUAUAGCAUGCUUGUUGCUCCUCCUCUAUAAUGAGUGCCCUCAAUCAAUGUUCGAGGUCGAUAGGAAUUAGAACCUUUACCUUUUGUUGGUUUCAUGUGGAACUACAUAAAGAGUUGUAGUGAUGGGGGAAAUAUCACUUGUCAACCAUAUAUACCAUUCAUUUAUUUGCUAAAUGUUCAUUUCUAAAAGCUUAAAAACUUAGUUUAUAAGUUCGUCGGGUCUCUCUAUACUUGAAGAUAAUUAUUGGUGCUCACAUCGCUCAGUACAACCAUCGCUCAUUCUAAUUGGUAGUUGAGACUUUAACUUAUAUAGGCACCCUUUUAAAAUGUAAUAUGGUGUAAAAAAAAUUAGGUUUUGAUAAAUAUUAAAAAUUAAGUUUUCAGUAAUCUUAAGUAUAUACUUAAGCUAUUAAGGAAAGGAUCCAAUUUAUAUUAAUUUUUUUACACCCUCAGUUGUCUACAAGCUGGAUUUUUUUAAUAAAAAAUAGAAAAAAAUAAUUAUGUUAAAUAAUAUACAUGGCAUUGAUAUUAUUUAUGCAAUAAUACACUAAUAAAUUCGGAUGUCUCAACAGAGACCACAAGUUGGAUUAGACUUGGCAAAUAAAAUUGAAUAAAAAUAAAUGAUGUGUAAAAUAAAAAUAAACGUAUACAUAUAUUGAUGUCAUGAUCUGCCUAUGGUAUCAUGAUAAAUAUUUUAAUUUAGUCACCAUUAAUCCUUAAAUUAUUAGGAAAUGACUCAUGAAUAUAAUCAAAUGAGUAGGUAUUUCAAGUAUAUGCCUUUAGAAUUUAAAAUGAUGAUGUAUACCACCAAGUAUUUAUUUUAAAGAGAUAUGCAUGUAUUUGAAAAGGAGUGAAAUAUUAAUAUGAUUUUGAAACUUCUGGAUUUCAGAUAUGAAAGAACACAACAUAUAUUGUUCAUAGAGUAGGGUUCAUUGCAUGUACAACCAAAAACUUGAUCUAAGUUUUAGUAAAAAUUGAUAUUUCAUGUAGGUGGGUAUGUAUAAAACCUCUCUCUCUCUCUCUCUCUCUCUCUCUCUCUCUCUCUCUCUCUCAUACACACAUACAUUCUAUAGACAUGAUGGAAUACAAGGAUCACUGAGCAUGAAUCUUUGAUGCAGAUCGAAUGCAUAUAAACAAGGGAUUCAGUGUCACUGGCAAGUUGACAAGGACAUGGAAGCUACUCUUCUAGCUAUAUGAAAAUGACAAUACUGCAAUUAUCAGCCUUCCUCUCUCAUGGUCAGUAUCAAUACACAUCUCUCAUAACUGGCUCAGCAAAGAUAUCUUUCCCCCUUAUUUUUCUUGAUUCUUUUUCUUGGUUGUUUGCAUGGCAUUUAGUCUUCCAUGCCUGACCAGAGUGGAUCUGUGGUCGACCUUUUCCUGACAAUUUGGACCUUCAAAUCACCUCCUUGUCAACAUCACUACCUCCGAUUUGCUCAAACAAUUACAGAAUAGGGUAAUAAAUUAGUGAUGAUUGAGUUGUUCUCUGUAUCAUCAAACAUUUCUCUGUUUCAGUUCCUUUGUGCAGAAUAAGCGAAGCAGAGAGUGUGUGUUGACAGUGUGAGAGAGGGAAACAUGAAACCAAGCUUUAGGCAACCACAGAAAGAAGCUGAAACGAGCACUGUAUUCGGCUGUAAUUUGAAGAGCAAGUAGAAUUAUUGCCAUGCAAGGCAGCUUUACAACGUGAUCUUAUGGCAUGCAUUUCCACAAACACAUGUAAUCUAUAGCAUUUAUUGUCGAGAAGAGUGAUCGAUCAAGCACUUGCAAUGUAUCCUCCAAAUGAGAUGUGUGCCCUCGUCAUGGGAGCUCCCCUCGCGGCUGACAGUGCCUGGUUUAGCCUUGCUGCCUGUUGCACAACCUCCUUCAUUCUCUGCAAUCACAUCACACAAGAGGAACUUAGGAUGGGAUUAGAUUAUCUUAAUUGAUCGAUGAGCAGUACCUUAUCGUGGGUGUAGAUCUUGAACUGGAUCUUAGGUUUCUGAUGCUGUCGGCAGCCAAGGAUGAAGAUGCAGAUAGUAGCAGCAGCAGCUGCUGCUGCUGAUGCUCCCAUGGCGCAGAAGGCUCCAAUACCUGUCGAUCUCCAAUUCCCCGGAGGAGGAAACCCGAAGCCUUUGAUCUCGGAUCCUGCAUGAUCUUUCUCUUCUCCCUCUUCCCUGACUUGCGAUUCCACGUCUGGUGUGACGACGCCGAUGUCUUUGAAUCCUUUGGCUUCAGCAUCAUCAUCUGAGUUAUUCUCCAUGGUUGGCUCUGAGUUCUGCUGCUGCUCCAAGAAAGAUUGUGAUGGGCAGAUGAAGUAAUUGGCAUCAAGUGUGAGCUCCUUGAGCACCAAAUCAUUUUGACUGCCAUGGCUGAAGUCCAGCAAGCUCUUGUCAUCAGGGAGGAACUCCCAGUCAUCGAGAUCCCUCUCCAGGCAAGAUUUCUCCAUGUGAUCAGAAUUAGGGACGACUGUGUGUGUGUGUAUGAGAGAGAGAGAGAAGAGAGAAGAGAGAGAGAGAGAGGACUUAUCCUUCCACCUGCCAAGACUUUUCCUAUAAAUCUAAUUCCCAACUUUUGUUUGACGACUUGCAGAGGAGGAAUGAGUUCUAAUUCCUCGAACAGUUCUUGUGCAUGAUUGGGCUGUCUGCCAGUCUCUGUCUUGGUCUCUCUCGCUCUCUCUGCUUCACACAUUAAUUCCAAUAUGCACAGUUAAGGUUUGGGUUCGUUCGAGCGUCACGAGUUGGUUGCGGCAAGGCGAUUCGAAAUGGGUGCGCCACAUGAACCGGGCGACUCGGGCGUGCGGCUCAAUUAAAUCAGGGAUUGGGUUCCGUUGAGCUCGAAGUAGUUGAUUGGGCUGAACCAUUUCAGCCAACUAAAUCCUUCCCCAUGACGCGAACCGGAAAGGACGAACCAUUGCUGCCCCUCACCCGCACGAACUGUCGCUGCCCGAGCCGCUCUCCUCCCUGUCGAGCAGCUGCUCACCCCUCCGGCGGUACCUCUCUCUCUCUCUCUCCCUACUUCCCUUCACUCUUCUCCCUUUUCCACCAGCAGCCGCCGCCCUCUCUGCCUCAGGCAGCCCUUUGGCGCCUCCGUUCUCUCUUCCCCAGCCGCCGCCAUUGUUGAUGCACCGAUGCCUUUUUUUGCUGAUGUGAUGCCAUUGGGUGCAAAUGUCACGUUUAUAUGAAAAUUAGGAAGAUUUCGACACACUUCAAAAUAAAACAUGAUGAAAAUUCUAAGUUUUUUUAAUCCAAAUAUUUUAGUAGCCUUAUAAUAUUUGUGACAAUUUACUGUGAGGGAACGAAAAUAAAAAAAAAGAUAAUAUGUUAUUUUAUUGUAAUAGUUGGAAAUUCGGCUUAGCUCAGAUUAGAUUUCAAUGGAAAACCUAUUUUCUUAAAAGGAUUUAUAUUUUUAUGUCAAAGAAAGAAACCCUCUUUGGGGAAUAUAGGAAUGUAAGCCCUAAUUUAUAUAUUAUAUUUGCCAAAUAUGAAGCUUUUCCCAUGAAAUUUUAAUCUUGCGUCGGAAAUGAUAUUGUAUUUGUCAAUGCAUGAUGGAGUGGGGACAGAACUGGAAUUUACGUAUAGGCUCCACUCUGCCUCGAUGGGCCGGGCUUGAAAUAAAAGCCCAUUAAGACAAUGCUACGAUUGGCCCAUUACAUGCUCCUCUAGGGUUUCGCUUCCCUCCCCUGCGGUCGGUUUCGCUUCUGGAUAUCUUAGCACGGGCGACAGCGCAGAGAGGGGUGUUUGGUUCCUUUUCCUCGAGCUCGUCUCGGUAGGUUGUCAUCCUUCCCGAUCACAUUACUCUUCUUGGCUUCUCUUUGAUUGGUUGCUGCGAUGUUUUUGAGUUUUGGCGAUAUGCAAUUGUUCUUUCUUUCGCGUUUCUUGGUCUUUCAUCGUCUUCAUCAGAUCAAUUUGUACAGCAGAUAAUACUUGCGUUCCCGUCAUUCUUUAAAGGUUUAGUUGUUUGCUUGCAACUUAGAAGUAGGUCAUCUAAUGCCAUGCAGUACUAAUGUGGAAGUUGCCUUUGUGCGUGCGUGAGAGAGAGAGAGAGCAGUCCGCGUUGUAGGACACGAAGGCCACAAGAACAUGUCAAUAUAAAACCCAUUUGUCUGCUAAAGUCCACAGCCUAAAAGAGGGGAAUCAGCCACCAUAGCAGUUGGAAAAAUGUACUGCUUUCAUUAGAUGGGGGUUGAACCUUAGACCUCCAGUGAUGGAUGAGAGAUGCUAUACCAUUCAAGGAUAAGAGAUACUGGAGAGGUUACUACUGUUGUUAGGAUUGUCAUUUAUUUUUAAUACAUAAUGAAAAGAAAAUUUUGUGAAACCGAAUGGCUCAAGUUUGAGCCCAACAAUCUAUUCUAUGUUUUCUUCACAAUAAUGCAUUUGUUUUGCUCGUAGUGGCAGCCAUAGUAAAGAUUGAAGAAUCAAGUUUGAGAUCAACAAUGCAUUUCCUGCAAGAUAACGGAAUUGUAUACCCAUCAAAAUUUUGUUGUAGAAUCUUUUACAAGUUCCUCCAAGGAAAAUUCUAACUUGGCUUUGUUCUAAAAUGCAUGUUUUUUUGUAUAACUCAGUUUAAUUGUGUCUAUGAUGGUUCACUUAACUUAAGAUUUUCUUGCUACAUAUAUGGUUCCUUAUGUUAUUUGCAUGAUGCAAAAAAAUUGUAAGAAAUAUUGAAAAAGAAUUGUUGAUGCGCUGAUGCAUUUUUUUGCUGAUGCGAUGUUAUUGGGUGCAAAUGUGGUUACCUGUGUCAUUUUUUGUUCAAUAUGUCAUGUUUAUAGAUCAGUCUUGUGAUAUGCAGGAAUAAAUUGACUCCUGAGUUGCAUACAAGAUGAGAUUAGAAAAGUGUUGGUUCUGUUCCUCAACCAUUUAUCCAGGCCAUGGAAUUCAGUUUGUUCGAAAUGAUGCAAAGGUAAGGCCAUGUUUUCCGAAUUAAUUCAUCUGGAAGACUGGUUUCCAGGCUUCUUCAAAAGAAAGGUGUUAUAAUAUAAAAUUGGGAGACUUGUACCAUUUGAAAAUAUGAUUGUUACUCAUAGUACUACAAACUUGGUUGUUUGUGUGACUCUUGUGCUUUAAGCUCCUUCACUAUUAUCUGACAGACUUGUACUAAUCCUUUAUAUGUCAUAAAUCUUAACCCUAUUAUGAUAUUAUUUUAAUUGCAUGUUAUUUCAGUUUGCUCUCUUCGUUCAUCUAUAUCUAAAUUGGUUAUAUCCAUCUUUCAUUAUGCAGAUGUUGUUUUGAUCUACAAAUCAUGCUUUCAUGAUGAAAUCAAAAUGGCCCUAAAUGGUCCUAGUUCAUUACUUGGAUUAUGAUUUCAUAUGAUUGUAACAGAUAAGUCUUUAUUGUUGGUGAGAGAAUGCCAUAGAUUUCAAGAUUGAACUUGAUUAUUUUCUUUUAUGUACACACACACACACACACACACACACGUGUUCUCAUUCUUUUGUUCAUUAAAUUUUGAUCUCUUGUUUCCUUUUGUUUUUUAUAUUUUCUGAAUUGCUUGAGCUUUAGAAAGGACAAGGAGAAAGGAACCCAAUGAUCCACAAUUUGAUUCAUGAUCUGAUAUAAUCUUUGUUAGGUGUAAUGCAUUCAUAUUUUUCUGUUCAUCAAGUGUUUGGCUCUUAUUUACUAUUAUUUUCAUGUUUUCUCAAUUGUUUGAGCUUUAGAAAGCACAAGAAGAAAAGAAUCUAUCUCUCAUGAACCCUCUUAGUGAUUCUUAUCUGAAGUAAAGUAGUCUUUUUCUUAGUUUUUAUGAUUUUUUUAGAAUUCUAAAUUAUUUUCAUGGAUUCCACUGAUCUGAUUCAUUAAUCAGACUGAUACUGAUCGUUCUGCCAUCGUAAGAUCUCAAUCCCUAUUUUGAGCGAUGGGCUUCUUACAGAAUUCUAGCAUGCAUUAUGGUCUUUUUAGCUUACCAGCAGUCAACAAGAUGCCAUGGAAACAGGUGUAGUCCAGUGCUUAUUGGAUGAACAUGCCUCAUUCAGUUUUAUGAAAAUAGAUGCUAUACAAAGAAUUUACUUUAAAACCCAGUCAAAUGAAGGCAUUAUGUUCAGUUUCAUCAAAAUAGAUGCUGUACCAUAUGUCAAGAUGAGAUUGGGGUUGAUUUUGAUCAGAUCUGUGUUAAAGAAAAACUGAUCUUGAUGUCCCAACAGAUUGACAUAAGUCAAUCCGUAAGUGCACGAGUUCCAAUAUGAAAACCUGAUUCAUUUGGUUUGAUUUGGUUAGUCUUUCAUGUUUUCCAAUGUUUGGACUCAUGACAGUAGUACAGUGGUGAAAAAAAACCCCAUUGGAGAAGAAUGAAAUAGAACAUGAAACUGUGGGCUCCUGUGUAGUGGGAGGAGAUUUUAUGAUGAGAUAAUAUCUAAACAUUCUAUGUUUUAGAUGAUCAGAUUGCGUCAUAAGUAUAACGGAUGGUUGUUGACUGGCAUCUGAUCCAAUUAUGAAUUAGACAAUCAGAAUAGUUUAAUUGGAUUGUACUGAUAAACAAUCAGAUUAAGAUUUGUUCCAAUAAACAGUUCAAAUUUGUUGAGAUAGCAUCAUAUCUGAUCCAUUGAAAGACAUCUUUGGGGAACUAUAUGAAGUAAAAGCUACAUAGGAACUUAGAGCCAACAUUCUUCAUUUUGUAUGCCAAGUUGUGCAGAAUAGCUUAAGCCUAUGGCUCCGCUGCUUCUGAUGAUUUAUAUUAUCAAGGUUCAGUUAUGUAUACAUACAGUUUGUAUGUCAGCCAUGGUUUGUGAAGUCUAAUGCGCAUGAAAACAUUAUUAGCCUAUAAUGUUGUUUGCUAGUUCCUAUUGUCAUCGAUGAAAGUUCUUUUGCAGAUAUUCCGAUUCUGCCGAUCAAAAUGCCAUAAGAAUUUCAAAAUGAAGAGAAAUCCUCGCAAGGUGAAAUGGACAAAGGCGUAUAGGCGAUUACAUGGGAAGGAUAUGACUCAGGUUAGAAAUGCUAGUGUGAUACUUUUUUCUGUGUUUCUUUGUUUAAGUUGCUGAAAUUGCAUGACACGAUGACUAUCUAAUGACUGCUAUCCCUGUUAAGGACUCGACAUUUGAGUUUGAAAGGAAGCGUAACAGGCCUGAAAGAUAUGAUAGGAAUGUCACAGAGAUGACGCUGAAGGCUAUAAAGAAGAUUGACAAGAUCAGAGUGACCAGGGAGGCUCAACACCACAAAAUGAGGUUGGUUUCCGUUACGAGUGGUAUCCCAUUUUCUUCAAUUUGCAAUUUAUAUUCUGAUAUGCCAUACUCAUAUAUCUCACAGGAUGAAGGGUAAUAAAGCAAUCGAGCAAGAGGCGGCAAUUAAGGAGUUGGAGAACAGUAUUAAUUUGGUCAAAGCACCUGCUGCCCUGCAGCAGGGAUCAGAAAUUACUCUUCCAAAGAUCAAAGUCAAGGUUUCUCAAUCACAAGAUGUGGGAGAGCGAAUGGAAGAAUAAUGGUAAUCUGGACAUUCAUCCAUCCUCCAAUUUAAAAGUGCCAUAUUAAGUUUUUGUUUUCUUUUGUGUGUUUGCACAGUUUAUGAGUGGGUGGUUCCUUGGAACAUUCUUCUACUGAAAGAUGGAUGGAUGCUUUGCCAUGGAUGUAGCUGAAAUAGUAGUUGGGAGAACAACAUUUUGUGCUUAAUUGUCUUGGUUGGUAAUGGAUGGUUUUUUUUUUUUUGUUUUAGUGGACACGUUAUUUGAUCACAUUAACAGAAAGCUUCUGAUGCAGCUCAAAAAGAACAUGGAAUGGUUGCAAUCUUCGCAUUUCGUGAUUGAUUGAUAUUACUAGUGUUGUUGUCAUCGAGCGUUUCCCGCCCCGACGAGGUGAGUCGAGUGCCUCAGAAUUGGUCCGAGAGGGCAAAUUGAAGCAGGUGUGGUUUGGAGGAUUGAUUGAUUGGGCUCACCCCAUGCGUGCGAGCCCUAUCGACACCACCACCUUGUGUCGCGCGAUUCGACAUGUGGUGGCCCUUAGGCACGUUGUUGCAUAUACCUUUUGCAACCGAGAAGAAACCUAACCUAAACUGUGAUCAAUUCAUCUGCAUGGCCCUUAGCCCUUGGGCUCGUGGGGGCCCGUCCGACGUUACCUUCUCCCCUCUCAUGAGGGGCAGAACCCUCCCUCCUCAUCCUCUUUUUUUACUCCAUCCUAUUUUUUUUUUAAUAUAAUAAUAAUAAUAAUAAUAUUUCUAUUUAAUUAUAAUUUUUAUAUAAUUUUAAUAUUUAUGAAUAUUUUGCUUGUACUCAAAGCGACAACUUAGCGCCUCCAGCCUAUCCCUACCCUCUUUCUCCUCCAUCGUUGUCCUCUAUCAAGCCUGCCUCCCAACAGUCUCACCCUCCCCCCUCUCUACUCGGUGCUUCUUCCGUCGACCAAUUUGUGUGUUGAACGGAUCUAUUUGAAAAAGUAUAUAUAUAUAUAUAUANNNNNNNNNNNNNNNNNNNNAUAUAUAUAUGCUCGAGCGAGAGCACCUAACGCCUAUGCCUAUAACGAUCAUAAGCACAUGUAACUGACAGCAUGUAUCGCUGCUUUAUUAUCAUCUGCUAAAAAGGUCUUGCAAUCUUAUUUCUUGAAUUCAUCUGCAUUGCACAUGAAACCUUGUAAGCUCAAUUCUCAAAAGGUGAGUAUCGUGAUCUUGCUCCUGCAUAAUUGGAUCCGUGGGAUGUCAGUGUGUUUCACUUCACCACAGCGUCGUAAUCAAAUUGAUAUCAUUCAAGCUAAGUCGGAUAAUUAACUCAGGUGUCAUAUUCUCUACCACCUACCCCCCACCCAGCACUCCUGGGAAUCUAUCUGAUGAACGAGAGAGAACUGUUAAUCGAACACUGUGUAAGAAGACUUUAGAAGCUUCCUAUGGUAGGAUAGGAGGAAGAAAGAAGCUUUACGGGAAGGGAUAACAAUAAUGUGGACUUCUUUUUGUGUUUUUAUUCGAACCAUAAACAACUUUAGGGACUUAAUAUCUAAUGCCACACUUUUAUUGUUCCUGUGGCAAUCACAAGAACUCGAAACGGCCCAAAGUUGCAGUCACAAACAAUUUAGUGAAGUCUAGUACAGGACAAAUCUUUUGCGGCAUCUAUUGCCAGUUAUCAAUCAGGAGACCCUGUCGUUUGACACAGCUAAGAAUCCACCAGUCGAAAGUUUUGAGUCAGGAACUCGUCUAUCAUUUAACUCAACAAUAAAAGUUUUUGUGGCAUGAAAUGGAAGUAGUGCAGAGUGACUAAAAAUGAUAUCAGUGGUGUGUCAUCUACAGAAGAUUAGUGAUACCAGGGAUAGCAUAUUACCACAAUAAGACUGUCUUUUGACACAAAGCUAAGAAUCUACAAGUAAAAAGUAAGGCCAAUGUUCUUCAUGAAUCAAAUUCCAACAAAGUUUUACCAGUCAGGAAGAACUCAUUAAUGUCUAUAACAUUUGUCCCACAACAACAAAAGUAUUUGUGGCUUGAAAUAGCAGUGUAGUGCAGAGUGGCGAAUACUAGUUGUAUGUCAACUACAGAAGAUCACUGAUGCUAGGAUAGCAUAUUACCAUACCAGUUAUGUACUCAAUGCCCCUUCAGGUUUCGUUUAAUGGAACCUCUGGUUUUGGAAGAGUCCGAGCGUGGCUGAGACCUCAUCCUUCCUGAGUCAUGUGGUCGCUCAGUUGAUGGAAGCACCCAUCCUCUUGUGUGCUUUUGACUGCUGUUGUUACCACUCCCUACACGACCACACAUGGAUAUAGAGUUAAACAUCAUUGGGUUAAUAUGGCAGAGCAAUUAAGCCAUGCAAAAACAAACUAAAAGAUUAUUAGGCUUUUCUGUUAAAAAAGAAACAGUCACAAAGAAAGGAGUCAAUUUCAAAGGGUCAGUAUGACUGAUGCAUUAAUCAAGGUUGACAAAAGCAAAAUCCUAAAAGGAAUAAGUUGUUUGCAACCAAAGAGCCCACAAGUAGCAGUGGCCAACAAAUGCAUAGGCCACAGAAAAUUGUUAUAAAUGAGGUUGUUUGGAUUCUGCAUAUAUAGUUGCUCUUUAACUAAAGAACAGGAAUGGCAACUGGUCUUCAAAGGCAUAGAAGCAAGCAGAAGUUGUGCAAACUGUAAAGGAGGUAAGAAGCAACACGAGGUAAUGAGUGAGAGGAGAGAAAUAUCAAAAUACAAACUUUACCUUAACCCUAAAAAUGUGACAUGUAGUAUUUUGAAUUGUAAGUCUGUAUGAGGGUUUAGUUUCAUAUGCACAUGUUGCAAGUGACUUAGAGACAAGCAAAUGCUUGCAAAUGUAUUAACUACCAGAAGAAAAACUUACAGGCAGUUCACUUGCAGGGAACCAAACACCCCGUAGUGAAUGCUUAAAGUGAGAGACUUAAAAAAGGCACACAUAAGUGAAGCAAGGUGUACUUAUUUUCAAGCAUCAAAGAAAAAGGAAGAGCAAUUCUAGAGUCCACGUAUUCCAAAAUCCAGUCCAUGGUCAAGCAAGAAACAACUGGUGGAUAUUGAUGGCCAGGCAAGCGGUAGCAAUGGCUGUCACCAUGCUACUGCUUUUGCCAAGCAAGAUGAGCAGCUUUUGCCACCAAGCCAAGAAAGGAGCAGCCACUGCUUCAGUUGACCACUGCAGUUGCCAGCAUCCCAAGUGACACUAAUCUAGCAUCCUGAAAGGUGGGAGGAAAAAGAAGAGAAAUAGGAACAAUUAAUAAAAAUUUUGCUCAUCAUUGUAACCCAUCCACAGAAUAUCAACUGGCCACCUUUGGAACCAGCAGAUCAUGGAUUGCCAAUUAUUUUCUCCUGAUACUGAAUUACGACCUUGUUGUUGUUGUUGUUAUUGUACACAGGAUACUGUCAAUUUUGAAACAGGAAUUGAUGUAUGGGUUCACAGAUGGGUCAACCAGGGGCAUUAAGUGUACAGUGGUUGCUUGAUACUGUUAUGAAUGUACAGUUGCAACGGCUUUGCCUAGAUGCAUUAGAAGAGGCUUUGGCUCACAUUAAACUCACCCAAGUGCAUAGGUGAGCCAAGCAUAUGCCUGAUUUAACACAGGUAUAUCAUGUUAAUCCUGAACCAACUCAACAGACAGCGCCCUUGCUAAAACCUUUGCAGAACAAAGAUUUCAUCGUGAAGCCAUUCAAAUUCUAAGCAUAAGAAAAUCAUUGUAUUAGUCACAGUGAUGAAAAAGAUCAUUUUAUCAAAUAUUUUAUUGACACUUCUUUUUGGUGUUUUGUAUUGACAAUCACCUACCAGUCGACCACCAAAACCAUACUGUCGAAUAAUAGUGCAUGCGGCCACCACCAAUCCAUUAUCAAACAGAAGCUGAGUAGGAUCUUACAACAUACUGCAUAGACUAUUCUAUGCACCACAUCAGAGGCCAUCAUAACCCUUAAAAGCAACCAAAUUUCAACUAAAUUAAGUUCUUCGGUGAAAAUAUACAGGAUAAUAUAUUCUCUUAGGAAAAUUUCCAAGUUCAUCCUGGAAACAAAUUAGAGGAACAUUGGUAUUCUCUUCAUCCAGCUUUUGUGCAUUUGAGUGCAGCAUGCUUUUAUGAUAAUGAAGUAACUCAUACUACAAGAGAAAGUAUAAAAUGUCAUUGAGAACUAAAAUUAAAAGAAAGGAGCAAUGUAAAAACGUGCAUCAUCUGACAUUUCACUCGUUCUUGAAAAUUCUUCACUUGUACAAAAGAUUUUGCUGAUUGACUAACCUAGUUCAUCAUGGAAACAAAGUAGAGAAGCCUUGGGUUUUUUUUUCCAAUAGAUUCUAUGCAAUUGAGUGCAGGAAAGCUACUGUGAUACUGGAGCAACUCAUAUUUGGCCAAUUGACAUUGACUAGAGCAAGAACAUUACAAUUGAAAAGUAUGGACAAAUGUCAUUGAACACAUUACAUACUAGUUUUCGAAGAUCUUCACUAGUCCGUAGGUUUUAUCUUAUGUCUAAUCUCUUAAUUUACUACCUAUCUAGAGCAGAACCAAUAUUCAUCAAAAUCCAAUGGGAUUUCAAAUUUUAUACUGCUCCACUAGCAUUCCUUCCUAUUUGGAACUCCCAAUUAACGUGACCACAUGCACAUAGACAUGGAAGUAUGGUGCUGAUAUUAUGUGAACAAGACUUAAGAGAAAAAGUUUAACGUUACAGUAAAACCGAUCAUAAGAAAGGAACUUCUCUACCCUCAGAAUUAGACAAUCUACAACAACCCCAAUGCACCAUGGGCAUUGCUAAACUACCAUGAAGAUUAAAAUUUUCUAUGUAACAUGCCCUAGCUAAUUUAACAAUCUCAUCAAAAAUUGAAAAUACUAUUUUAACAA
rnacentral:lncRNA from 1 species